GAGUACCUUUCCCUCCAGGAAGGAUCCGGUGCGGAUUUUUAAGGUUCUUGCUUCUCCGGGACUGGGCUUUCCUGUCCCCAAGUCUCUCGCUGCCACACUUUAGUCUUGGCUCCUCACAGGAGCCUCUCCCCCACUUGACUCUUAAUUUAUUAUUAUUUUUUUCCCCCAUCUUCCUACCUUGUUAGAAGCUCAAACUCUUCUCUCUGUAGUGUUCCAGCUGUUCUCUCUUUAAAUCUCAGGCCGAAUUAAUAGGUUUUCAGGAUGAUUUGAAAGUUAUCUAGGUAAGUUGUAGGGGACAGGUGACUUAGGGACCCUACUCCUCCGUCAUCUUGACCCGCCGCUGGAUGAUAAAGUUUUUAAACCUGCAAACUAAUCUAUGCUGUUAGAUUUCAGAACAGUGGUUACUCUGGAAGGGGUUCAAAGAAGCUUCUGGAUGCUAAUGAUAUUUUGAUCUGGGUAUUGGUUUCAGUUUGUGAAAGGUCAUUGUACAAUAUAUUUUUGAUUCAUGUAUUUUCUUGAACAUUUGACAUACUGAAAUAAAAAGUACACUAAAAAGGCAGAAAUAAAAAAAAAAUUUACUGAAUAAGAUAUCCUUAGAUCUGGGCUUCCAAGGAAAUUUGGGAAAUGCUGACCAAUCAUACAAUGCUAUUGAUAGGUAUUGUUCAGGUCAUUUUUUUAAAUUGAAAUAAGACCAGAUGAAAUGAUAUUCAAGGAAAAAUGUAAGUGGACAUUUUCCCCAAUUAAUAUUUGAAUUUGCCAUUGUUUUUGUAUUGAAGACUGUGAAGAACUGUAUGGUAGUGAUAAAUGAUAAAAGAAGUCGUUUAAUGAGUGUUUGAAAAGUAAUGAGAGAAAUAGACGCAUUUUAAUUACAUAAAUAUUAAAAACAAGAUCAAACAGAUUGCUUUUUAGUUUGGAGCAAUAUAAAAUAUAAACUUUCAAUAGCUUCGUAAGAAAUAUAUAAAAAGUAUUCUGUGGCAAAUAGCAGUUUUGUGGAUCUUAACAAUGAAAUCAUUUUAUACUUUAGGUUUCUGUUUAUAAUUGACAUGUAAGAGUUAAUUUACACUCAUACUGUUUUAUACAAUAAUAUCCCUUUUCCCAGUUCUCUAAUAUGUGUUUUACCAUUUCAGAGACAUUUUUGAUGACAGAGUAUAUGCCUGGAUCUUUGUGUAAAUGCUUUUCUCUUCUGCUAAUUAAAUAAUUAAAUCACUUACUUCAGAAUGCUGAAAUGCCAAAUGUCCAGUUUCUCUGCUUCCACAGACUUCAUACUCUGACAGCCAACAAUUGCUCUAAGUGUUUGACAUUCAGAAAUUGGAGCGAGUAGGUCAGGACUGUGGCAAGUUGGUUUGCAUUUUAAGUAAGCUGUGAGUGAAGAGAGAGGAAGGAGAUGUGUCCAAGGUAAUUUCUCUUAGUUAUUUUCUGUGUCUGCCUUAAGACUUUUGUUUGUUUUUCAAGAGGAAAUAAAAACUAGACUGGUUCUUCUUAUCCUGAUUUUACAUUUUUAUAGUGAUCUCUCUGAAAAAUUAUAGAAAUCUGAAGUUCUGGGUAUUCAAAAUUUAUAUAUCGUAUUUAUAGUCAAAUGAAAUCAUUAUACCUACUUCCAUGGUGCACGUUUUUAGAGAAUUAGAAUCGUUGAGUAUAAGAUUGAAUUUUUUUAUGACAAUAGCUAUGCAAUGUCCAUGCUUAGAUUUCUUUUUAUUUAGAGACUUACACUUUUGAAAAUAUGCAAUAUGUAUAGUUAGUCCUUUUUAUUCAGGUUUUCAAGAGAGAGAUUCCUUAGAAUAUUCAAAUUAUUAAUCCAAUCACAAAUCUUAUGUUAGCCAAUUAUUUUAAUUUUCUCAGUAGAAAUAUUUGCCUUAUAUUUUGUUGAAUGUAUUUGCUAACAUUUUACUACAUGUAUUUUCUUCUCCUACCUGCUGUGGAAAAUGCAAAUGAUGUCAAUAAAAUGACCAAAAGGUAGAAAAGGAAGGAGGAGCAGCAAAGGAUUAGACAGCAGCAAGGGAUCAGACAAAGCAUUAAGCGUUUGUAUCUAAAUAACCAAGUCACAGGUCAAAUUUCAUAGAGGGACCAUCAUGGGAAAUUACACAAGUGUUGCUAUACUGAACUUUUAUGGUAAUAUUAUUAAAGAUGGGGGAGUUUCUAUUCCUUGUCAUUGACUUCCUGAGCCAGCAGCAGGUAACUGGUGGAGUCUGAGUCUGCUGACAACUUCCUGCACUUGUGAGUAUGGUUGUGGAGUGACUAUGGGGUGACAUUCAUGAGCUGGUACUAUCUGGGGUGCUUAAUGGUGCCACUAACUUGGGGUAUCAUGACAAUAUGCAAUGGAGGAAAGAUGUCUAGGGCUUUUAGGAGGGAUGUUGUUCAGGCCUCAAUUCCAUAAUACAUUUGGAUCUUGGUAUCAGAUCUUUAUUAUGGAAUGUGAGUUAUACUUAUGUAUGUGUUUAUGACAGUCCAAACUAUUGUCUUAUGAAUAUGCUUUUUUUUAGAGAUUGUGUUCAUUGUUUGCAAGCAAGCAUGUUUGUCAUUUCAUAAAGAGGGUUCAGAGAGGAGCCCUGUAAGCAUUGUUAUUUAUUAAUGUUAUUUAUGAAUGAUUGGAGUAGAACCUGUUGGAAUAUUAUAAUCCUUUAUGAUUAAACAUUAAAAAAAACCUACUGUAUAAGUUUUCACAUCUCAAACUUUUUCUUGGUAUUUUGGUAUACAUUACAUACUGAUAAUCUGUCAGGCUAGUGUAUAAAAUGAACUGGCUCAUAAUCAACAUUAUUUCAUUGCUAAAAAUAGAUAGAUGUUAAUAUGAUAUUACAGCCAGUCUUGUCUAUGUUACAAUUAGCCUGUGGUUGAUCAUAGUGGGAGUAUUUACACCAUGGAAUUGCAAAUGUCACAAAUCAGGCCCCCUACCUCCUGCCCCACCCUCUGAUUCAUUGUUAAACAUUUAUCAGUAUGCCAUUGGGUAUAAUAGAACAUGGUUUUGAAGUUGGUUAGGCCAAGGAUAAAAUUCUAUUUCUCCCUCUCUCUCAUUCUGGCAAAUUAUAAAACUUUCUUAAAUUUCCCAUUUUCUCAGUACAAAGAAAAGGAGUAUUGUGAAAAUCAAAUUAGCUAAUGUACAAAGCACUUGGCAGAGGCUUUUAAUGUAUUUUUGAAUCCUUUUACUUUCUCCACUCUCCUAAAAUUGGUCCUGGAAUCUAGGGUGAGAAUGAAGUAUAAUGGAGGUCAAGAUUUUGCAACUGUCGAUAGAGAAGGGCCAGAAGUUUGAAACCAGGAAAGAAGUUCUGUAUUAGGGGUGGCAUAUCUGAAAUAGUUACUCUCAAGAUCUCUCCAGGGGAAGUGCAGAAAAAAAUCCUUGAAAGUAGAAGCCCUUACACAGCAUUUUAGUAUAUCUACAGAGGCAGGGAUAGCUGUAGGUCUUUCCAUUGAGAGAGUUGUGCUGAGUUGGAGUAACAAGCCUGAACCUCAGGAAAGGGAGAAACCCUUGGGUAGGUGAACUGAGCCCUGGUACUAGAUAUCAGUGUGAUCAGAGCCUGCAGUCUCCCAGCAGGGAUUGCACUUGGUCCUGGUCAAGACAACUCCUCCUCUAGUUCCAUGAUUUUAGGCAGUAGAGAAGUGGAUGGUGCCUGCAAAAUAUACUAUCCCAGAUUUGGUAGAAGAGAAAUCAGGACAGUUUUCACACACAUAAUGUUAGAGCAAAUCUGAUCUGGAAAGAGCUUCUCACAUUAAGCAAAAUCAAAAUAAAACAAACAACAAAAAAAGGGUUUUAACUAUGGCAAACAACCAAAAACAAACAUACAAAAAUCUCUACAUAUAUAACAAGAGGAAAGAGAGAAGGAAACUAAUAUACAAAACGCAGAAAGGACCCAGUCUAAAAGAAAAUGUUGCCCAGAUAGCACAUUCCUGUUGAUUUACAAUGUAGAGAAACUUACUGAAAAUAGGAAUUAAUUGGAAGCAGGGCUCAAAGAUAAGAUGAUUAAGGAACAGAAAGAGGUGAAAAGAGAGGUUGCUGAAAUAAGAAUACAAAUCGAGAGCCAGACAACACUAUUGCAGAUCUAUGAAUACAAAGAUUUCUCAAAGAAGAGUUACUAGUUUGGUUUCAUGUUUUUCCUCCCAAAGAAGAGGCUGAUUCUAUAGUCACAUAAUCAUUUUCAUUUGCUUUUACAAAGACUUGAACAAAAUGGAAAAGAUGAAGGUAUAGCUCUUCACCGAACUGACUCCUAACUGCAAAUGGCCUCUAGAAAUGUCUCUUUCAGUGUAGCAGUGAAAUUGUUUUAUAAAUCUCUCUGGUUUUAUAAAGGAAAAUAGUAAUUCUGGGAUUAGUGCCGCUUGAAAAAAUUUUUUAUCUUCCUCAAAUUUUGGUUAACAGUGUGUAACAGGAGGGUGAAUAAGACUUUUCCUGUUUUGGAAUUUUUGGUGAAACUCCACAAUGGAAAACAAAUGAAUGCUUCUAUAUUCUACACAGAGACCUGAGAUCUGUCCUUUGUAUUGUAUUAAGAGAUAGCAUAGACUAAAAAAAAAAAAAAA
rnacentral:lncRNA from 1 species